UACAGAGGGGGCAAGCGUUGUUCGGAAUUACUGGGCGUAAAGCGCGCGCAGGCGGCCUCGCGCGCCCGACGUGAAAGCCCCCGGCUUAACCGGGGAGGGUCGUUGGGGACGGCGGGGCUUGAGGGCGGGAGAGGUCGGUGGAAUUCCCGGUGUAGUGGUGAAAUGCGUAGAGAUCGGGAGGAACACCUGUGGCGAAAGCGGCGCACUGGACCACAUCUGACGCUGAGGCGCGAAAGCUAGGGGAGCAAACAGG
rnacentral:rRNA from 1 species